UUCCCUCCAAGUUGUUAGUCAAAAAAUCUCAGUAUAUUGUGGGCCUCCCUAAAAUUAAUGUAUGUGAGAUAAAUAGAAAUCCUUUUUUGAAGACUAAUGUCCAUAUGGUGCCUACCAUUAAAAAGUUUAAAUUUUAAAUCAAUUCUAACAGACAUAUAGGCUAUUCUUAAUGUUAUAAGCCAUGAUCUUUUGCCAUGUUGAUCAAAUACUCAUAAUAGAAUGGUUGCACGUGUACAAUGAAUAAUAAUUAUGUGUUAUACACUCUUAUUUUCAAUAUUGCAAUUCU
rnacentral:lncRNA from 1 species